rnacentral:rRNA from 1 species
UAAUAUAACACUAUCUGAUAAAUAAGUUCUAAUAACCUAAGUUUAAGAAUAAAUAUAACAAAACAAUAGUACUGUGAAGGAAAUCUCUAAUUUUAUAAGUAGUCAAUAACGUACCUUGUGCAUAAUGGGUUCUCAAGAAAUAAUUAUAUAUAUAUAUACCCGAAGUCUUAAUGAGCUUAAAAUAUAUUGUUAAGAACUAAUAGAUAAAUGUUUCAAUAUUUUCUAAAAAUAUAUCUUAAGAAGCUACAUACUUACCGCAUAAGAAUAUAUCUGGUUUCUAUUAAAUAUUAUAUAUUAAUUCAUCUAAAUUAGAGUGUAAUAUAAUAAAAGAUAAGUUUUAUUAUUCUACCUAUUUAAUCUUAUUAUAAUAUAUAAUUAGUAGGUUUAAUAUCGACCAUCUGUAAUUACUUUAUCGUAUAAUUAAUAAUUUAAUAUAUAAAUAAAUUUAAAUGGAAAAAUAAUAAAUAGAUAUAAAUUUUAAUCAUAAAUAUUUUUUAAUUAUGAGAAUAUUAGUAUUAUAUAAACUAUAAAAAAGGAAUUCGGCAAACUAAUUUUUCGACUGUUUAACAAAAACAUUUCUUUUAGUAAUUAUUAAAAGUUGGCCCUGCCCAAUGAAUACUUCAAUGGCCGCGGUAUCCUGACCGUGCAAAGGUAGCAUAAUCAUUUGUCUAUUAAUUGUAGACUAGUAUGAAAGGGUUAACGAAAAUAUAUCUGUCUCUCUUAUAUAAACAAAAAUUAUUUUUUAAGUGAAGAAACUUAAAUAGAAUUAAAAGACAAGAAGACCCUAUAGAGCUUUAUAUUAUAUAUAAUAAAAUUAUAUUAAUAUUUGGUUGGGGCGACCUAGGAACACUAAACAUCCUAAUUUUAUUUAGAUUAAUAAAUCUUUUAUAGAUCCUAUUAUGAUCAAUAAAUUAAGUUACCUUAGGGAUAACAGGCUAAUAUUUUUUUAGAGUUCUUAUCAACAAAAAUGUUUGGCACCUCGAUGUUGGCUUAGGGUCCCAUUAUGGUGUAGAAGUCAUAAAUGGAGGUUUGUUCAACCUAUAAAUCCCUACAUGAGCUGAGUUCAGACCGGCGUAAGCCAGGUUAGAUUCUAUCUUUAAUUUAGUUAUAAUUAUUUAUAGUACGAAAGGACCUAAAUAAUACUAAUUUAGUAUUAAAUGUUAAAUUUUAUAUUUAAU